rnacentral:lncRNA from 1 species
UUUUUCGAGUCUCCGUUUUGUCUAUAAUCAUAUCCAUGCAUUUUUUAUUUAGAAAAACUUCAAAUAUCAACCUUAUAAUUUCAGACUUUUUUACUUUAAUACUCUAUAAUUUAAAAUGUAUCACUUUUGUAUUCUUUGGUUUAUUUUUUUUUCUUUCCGUUACCCCCUUCGUUAAUUUUUUCGUUAAAUCAAUGACAAAGUUAAAACCACAUCGUACUAAACUAAAAAUUUAGUAAAUCAUAAGGUACUAAAGUGAAUAUUUGAUAAAUCAUAGGUGGAAUAUCUAAAGUUUUUUUUGUAUAAAAUUUAAUGUAGAGUUAAUAAAACAUUGACGAAAAAUAAAAAUAAAACCACAGGAUGCUCAAGUGAUACACUUUAAAGCACAGGGUACUAAAAUAAAAAAGCACGAAAUCACAGUAUAGUAUUUGAAGUUUAUCCUUUUUAUUUUGGUAAAAAUGUAUAGA